AGUAGCAGAAAUAAAUAAAGAGGUAAUGUAAUAACAAAUGAAAAUUUCAAAUUGUAAUUAGUUUACUAAACACAUUUAAUAACGGAUCAGAGGUACCAUCAAGCGUGGUGGCUUAGUGAUAUAAGCUUUUGGUGUUGGAUGCAUUCAACCUUGGUUCGACUCCCCACUUCAGUGUUGACUAAAGAUUGUCUUCACUUGAUAUGAAUGGGUGAAUUGACUGCAGAUUGUCUGUACUUUUGACGUCUUAUAAUUCACUAUGACUCAAUGGUAAGUCCUCUAUUAAGUGAGGUUAAAUUAGGGGUUAUGAAACCAUUUAACAGUGGACCUUGGAUGU
rnacentral:misc_RNA from 1 species